GACAAACGCUGGCGGCAUGCCUAACACAUGCAAGUCGAACGGACAGAACAGGGAAGCUUUUCGGAGUGGAACUGGAAAGUUAGUGGCGGAUGGGUGAGUAACGCGUGGACAACCUACCUUGUAAAGGGGAAUAACCUCGAGAAAUCGAAGCUAAUACCCCAUAAUAACCUUGCUUCGCAUGAAGUAAGGAGGAAAGGCGGCCUUAGCGCUGUCGAUACAAGAUGGGUCCGCGUCUGAUUAGCUAGUUGGGGAGGUAAAGGCUCACCAAGGCGACGAUCAGAGUACCGCCUCAGAGGGUGAACGGCCACAUUGGGACUGAGACACGGCCCAAACUCCUACGGGAGGCAGCAGUGGGGAAUCUUCCGCAAUGGGCGAAAGCCUGACGGAGCAAUGCCGCGUGAGUGAAGAAGGCCUUCGGGUUGUAAAACUCUGUCCUUAUCGAAGAGAGAGUGUUGUAGUAACUGACAAUACUAGGACGGUAGAUGAGGAGGAAGCCCCGGCUAACUAUGUG
rnacentral:rRNA from 1 species